AGACACGCCACACGCAAUCGGUUACGCCUUUGCGCUCAAAGGCUGCGCAUGAUUAUUCACGAUCUCCCUCCUUUGAUCGUGUUUACGCAAACGUGGGACAAAUAUGCAGCCAGUCAAAUUGCGUAGCAUUCGUGAGAUGAAUUCCCUCCACGUAAUCCACAAAACGAGAGGAUCAUUAACUAUACAAACCAAGUCUCACCCCACCCCCUUUUUGAGACCAGAACAUGUUCAAUAUUUGCUAUGUGUGGGAAAGCAAACAGGGUGGCAAAUAUGGCGACGAAUGUCUAUGAGUAGCGUGUGGAAGCUUAUCCGGAUGCAUAAUUCAUCAUUUUAAUCCAGUGGUGGGACUUAAUCAGGUGCAAACACUGACAACGUAUUUCGGGCUUUGGAACUUCAGUUGUUGUUUGUUUUUCAAACAACUUUGACUCCCUGCUUGAAGAAACACACGAUACUUUCUGUACUUUCUUCUUGGCGAGGGUCUGCAGCUCUUGGUUGGGACCAUCACUGACUGAGGUCACUUGACAAUGGACUUCCGGCAUUUGGGCAUUUCCUUCUCCUCGGUCUUCCUCCAGACUCUGGCACCUUGAUUUCCGAAUGAUUUGCUUUCAUCCG